ensembl:lncRNA
GAGACAGAGACGGAAAGAAGGGGCAGAGACAGAGACAGAGACAGAAAGAAGAGGCAGAGACAGAGACAGAGACAGAAAGAAGAGGCAGAGACAGAGACAGAGACAGAAAGAAGGUGCAGAGACAGAGACAGAGACAGAAAGCAGGGGCAGAGACAGAGACAGAAAGAAGAGACAGAGACAUAGACAGAAAGAAGGGGCAGAGACAGAGACAGAGUAAGAAAGAAGGGGCAGAGACAUAGACAGAAAGAAGGGGCAGAGACAGAGGCAGAAAGAAGGGGCAGAGACAGAGACAGAAAGAAGGUGCAGAGACAGAGACAGAGACAGAAAGAAGGGGCAGAUACAGAGACAGAGACAGAAAGAAGAGGCAGAGACAGAAAGAAGAGGCAGAGACAGAGACAGAGACAGAAAGAAGGGGCAGAGACAGAGACAGAGACAGAAAGAAGGGGCAGAGACAGAGACAGAGACAGAAAGAAGGGGCAGAGACAGAGACAGAGUAAGAAAGAAGGGGCAGAGACACAGACAGAAGGAAGGGGCAGAGACAGAAAGAAGGGGCAGAGACAGAAAGAAGGGGCAGAGACAGAGACAGAACGAAGGGGCAGAGACAGAGACAGAAAGAAGGGGCAGAGACAGAGACAGAAAGAAGGGGCAGAGACAGAGACAGAAAGAAGGUGCAGAGACAGAGACAGAAAGAAGGUGCAGAGAAAGAGACAGAGACAGAAAGAAGGGGCAGAGACAGAGACAGAGUAAGAAAGAAGGGGCAGAGACAGAGGCAGAGACAGAAAGAAGGGGCAGAGACAGAGACAGAAAGAAGGGGCAGAGACAGAGGCAGAAAGAAGGGGCAGAGACAGAGGCAGAAAGAAGGUGCAGAGACAGAGGCAGAAAGAAGGUGCAGAGACAGAGACAGAGACAGAAAGAAGGGGCAGAGACAGAGACAGAGACAGAAAGAAGGGGCAGAGACAGAGACAGAGACAGAAAGAAGAGGCAGAGACAGAGACAGAGACAGAAAGAAGGGGCAGAGACAGAGACAGAGACAGAAAGAAGGGGCAGAGACAGAGACAGAGACAGAAAGAAGAGGCAGAGACAGAGACAGAAAGAAGAGGCAGAGACAGAGACAGAAAGAAGGGACAGAGACAGAGACAGAAAGAAGGGGCAGAGACAGAGACAGAAAGAAGGGGCAGAGACAGAGACAGAAAGAAGGUGCAGAGACAGAGAUAGAGACAGAAAGAAGGGGCAGAGACAGAGACAGAGACAGAAAGAAGGGGCAGAGACAGACAGAAAGAAGGGGCAGAAACAGAGACAGAAAGAAGGUGCAGAGACAGAGACAUAGACAGAAAGAAGGGGCAGAGACAGAGACAGAAAGAAGGUGCAGAGACAGAGACAUAGACAGAAAGAAGGGGCAGAGACAGAGACAGAAAGAAGGGGCAGAGACAGAGACAGAAAGGGGCAGAGACAGAGACAGAAAGAAGGGACAGAGACAGAGACAGAAAGAAGGGGCAGAGACAGAGGCAGAAAGAAGUGGCAGAGACAGAGACAGAGACAGAAAGAAGGGGCAGAGACAGAGACAGAGACAGAAAGAAGGGGCAGAGACAGAGACAGAAAGAAGGGGCAGAGACAGAGACAGAGACAGAAAGAAGGGGCAGAAACAGAGACAGAGACAGAAAUAAGGGGCAGAGACAGAGACAGAGACAGAAAGAAGGGUUAGAGACAGAGACAUAGACAGAAAGAAGGGACAGAGACAGAGACAGAGACAGAAAGAAGGGUUAGAGACAAACAGAUGUACAGUUAGAAAUCCAGAGAAAAACCAAUAGUCAGGCAGACAGAAUGAAAGAGACAACCU